AACCCAUGUUGAGGACAUUUCCGCCGGAGAUCCUUGAACCUUUCCCAUGUCUAAAAAUGAGACUCUAAUUCUGUUUGCACAAAAGAAGAUAUCUCAUCCCUUGGAUU